rnacentral:rRNA from 1 species
ACUCAAAGGAAUAGACGGGGGCCCGCACAAGCGGUGGAGCAUGUGGUUCAAUUCGACGCAACGCGAAGAACCUUACCUGGGCUCGAAAUGCAGUCGCCGGCCUGAGAGAUCAGGUUUUCCCGCAAGGGACGGCUGCAUAGGUGCUGCAUGGCUGUCGUCAGCUCGUGUCGUGAGAUGUUGGGUUAAGUCCCGCAACGAGCGCAACCCUCACCGUUAGUUGCUCGAUCCCGCGCAAGCGGGGCCAGCACCCUAACGGAACCGCCUCAGAUAAUGGGGAGGAAGGUGGGGAUGACGUCAAGUCCUCAUGGCCUUUAUGUCCAGGGCUACACACGUGCUACAAUGGCCGGUACAAAGCGUCGCGAACCCGCGAGGGGGAGCCAAUCGCAAAAAGCCGGUCCCAGUUCGGAUUGCAGUCUGCAACUCGACUGCAUGAAGCCGGAAUCGCUAGUAAUCGCGUAUCAGAACGACGCGGUGAAUACGUUCCCGGGCCUUGUACACACCGCCCGU